rnacentral:rRNA from 1 species
CGCGUAGGCGGUUUGGACAGUUGGGCGUGAAAUUCCUGGGCUUAACCCGGGGGCUGCGCUCGAUACAUCCAGGCUGGAGUGAGGAAGAGGGUCGUGGAAUUCCCAGUGUAGAGGUGAAAUUCGUAGAUAUUGGGAAGAACACCGGUGGCGAAGGCGGCGACCUGGUCCUUUACUGACGCUGAGGCGCGAAAGCGUGGGAAGCAAACAGGAUUAGAUACCCUGGUAGUCCACGCUGUAAACGAUGUGUGCUGGAUGUUGGGCGACCUAGUCGCUCAGUGUCGUAGCUAACGCGGUAAGCACACCGCCUGGGGAGUACGGCCGCAAGGUUGAA